AGGCACUGAGUGGAUUUUCUUCGGCCUGCCAACUGAAAAGGGAGCCGGCAAAAGACAGGAGUUAUAAUCGAUAUGAACUGACAGGUUUUAAGAGCAGACUGAGAUUAAUUACAGAACUAAGAGCUUUGGAGAAACCUAAUAUCUUUAUCUCCUUGAUCUUCACCUAGCCAGAGCAGAGUGCUGCAUGUCCUUUCUUCCUCACCUGGUCUUUUCUCCUGGGGCCUCCCUGCUGGUUCCUCAUUGGCUGGUUUCUCUGUGGGUGUUUCUUUCUUCUCCUGCGUGGAGCUUCGUCGACCACGGCGACCAGCUAAACUCACAGCGGAUUUGGUAUCCUGGGGGCAGAAGUCUUAUGUUUGCGAGGGAGAUCCUUCCUCUGUCCCCAUCAUCAAACUCCACC